rnacentral:tRNA from 1 species
GGUUCGAUAGCUCAGCUGGAUAGAGCAACUGCCUUCUAAGCAGUCGGUCCGGGGUUCGAAUCCCCGUCGAAUCA